GGUGGUUCUUGGGUGACGCACCCCAGGAUUGGGCUCCCUCCUCUCUGGUUCCGGCUGAGUCACCUGAGAACCGCA
rfam:Myotis lucifugus cont2.41295, whole genome shotgun sequence.